GCCUGACUGGCUCGGUAGGUAGAGCAUGCAAUUCUUAAUCUUAGGGUCAUGAAUUCAAUCUCCAUGUUGGGCA
rfam:Canis lupus familiaris chromosome 37, whole genome shotgun sequence.